GAUGAACGCUGGCGGCGUGCCUAAUACAUACAAGUCGAGCGAACAGAUAAGGAGCUUGCUCCUUUGACGUUAGCGGCGGACGGGUGAGUAACACGUGGAUAACCUACCUAUAAGACUGGGAUAACUUCGGGAAACCGGAGCUAAUACCGGAUAACAUAUUGAACCGCAUGGUUCAAUAGUGAAAGGCGGCUUUGCUGUCACUUAUAGAUGGAUCCGCGCCGUAUUAGCUAGUUGGUAAGGUAACGGCUUACCAAGGCAACGAUACGUAGCCGACCUGAGAGGGUGAUCGGCCACACUGGAACUGAGACACGGUCCAGACUCCUACGGGAGGCAGCAGUAGGGAAUCUUCCGCAAUGGGCGAAAGCCUGACGGAGCAACGCCGCGUGAGUGAUGAAGGUCUUCGGAUCGUAAAACUCUGUUAUCAGGGAAGAACAAAUGUGUAAGUAACUGUGCACAUCUUGACGGUACCUGAUCAGAAAGCCACGGCUAACUACGUG
rnacentral:rRNA from 1 species